rnacentral:rRNA from 1 species
AGUGAACGCUGGCGGUAGGCCUAACACAUGCAAGUCGAACGGCAGCACAGUAAGAGCUUGCUCUUACGGGUGGCGAGUGGCGGACGGGUGAGGAAUACAUCGGAAUCUACUUUUUCGUGGGGGAUAACGUAGGGAAACUUACGCUAAUACCGCAUACGACCUACGGGUGAAAGCAGGGGAUCUUCGGACCUUGCGCGAUUGAAUGAGCCGAUGUCGGAUUAGCUAGUUGGCGGGGUAAAGGCCCACCAAGGCGACGAUCCGUAGCUGAUCUGAGAGGGUGAUCAGCCACACUGGAACUGAGACACGGUCCAGACUCCUACGGGAGGCAGCAGUGGGGAAUAUUGGACAAUGGGCGCAAGCCUGAUCCAGCCAUACCGCGUGGGUGAAGAAGGCCUUCGGGUUGUAAAGCCCUUUUGUUGGGAAAGAAAAGCAGCAGGUUAAUACCCCGCUGUUCUGACGGUACCCAAAGAAUAAGCACCGGCUAACUUCGUG